UCCAAAACAAUCCAGGUCAAAACACAGGAAAACACAUGACCUUUCUUUCCGUCGAAAUUCAUCUGUAAUUCAGUUUUGGUUAGAAAUGAGGGAAUUAGUUGAAACUCAAAUUGAAAUCCAAAUGAAAAUUCAUUUUCCUUCUUUUGAAAUGCACUCUUUGUUAACUUAAGUUUCUUUGCUAGCUGGUUGGAAUCAUGCUGCAGAAUUACUGGUCGUGGGCUUGUGGUUGGCAUAAAGGUUGAAUGGUCAAAACCGACUUGGCUAGGCAAUGCUUGAAUUUGCAGCUGACUUGGCAUGCUUUAAGGUUGUUUGUAUAUGCUUUAGGUGUUGUAAUGUCAUAUACCUAGAUUGCAAAUGGCUAUGGACAUAAUCAUGUAUUGGUUUAUGCUUUAUAUAUGGAUUUUUGGAAAUUGUAUUGUAAUUUGGUUGUGAUGAACAUGAAGUAUGUUGUAAAAAUGGUUGAAAUUGAAUGUAUUGGAUAAAAAAUGUGAAUUGGAUGUACGAGGUAAUGGUUAAAUGUGAUAUGAGGUUGGCUAUGUUAACGUUGAUUAAAUGGAAAUGUGUGGAAAUUGAAAUAGA